rnacentral:ncRNA from 2 species
CUUAUCGACCCUGCGACAGGUGUUCCGGAGCGCGAUCCGCGCCCGGGAUGAAACGGGAAGCCGGUGCGGUGACUGCCCUGUCAGUCCCCAUUCCGGCGCUGCCCCCGCAACGGUGAUUGAGCGCAAACGGCCACCCUCGCCACUGUGUCCCCCAGCGUACCGCUUCGGGCAUGGGAAGGCGGCCGCUUCUGAGCCCCGGGCCAACCGCCCGUCGCUCCGGCUCAUCAGCCCGGAGACCGGCCUGUCGCGCAUGCCGGGU